GAUGAACGCUGGCGGCGUGCCUAAUACAUGCAAGUCGAGCGAACAGACGAGGAGCUUGCUCCUCUGACGUUAGCGGCGGACGGGUGAGUAACACGUGGAUAACCUACCUAUAAGACUGGGAUAACUUCGGGAAACCGGCGCUAAUACCGGAUAAUAUAUUGAACCGCAUGGUUCAAUAGUGAAAGACGGUUUUGCUGUCACUUAUAGAUGGAUCCGCGCCGCAUUAGCUAGUUGGUAAGGUAACGGCUUACCAAGGCAACGAUGCGUAGCCGACCUGAGAGCGUGAUCGGCCACACUGGAACAGAGGCACGGUCCAGACUCCUACGGUAGGCAGCAGUAGGGAAUCUUCCGCGAUGGGCGAAUGCCGGACGGAGCGACGCCGCGUGAGUGAUGAAGGUCUUCUGAUCGGAAAACUCUGUUAUUAGGGAAGAACAAAUGUUUAAGUAACUAUGCACGUCUUGACGGUACCUAAUCAGAAAGCCACGGCUAACUACGUG
rnacentral:rRNA from 1 species